UAAGCUGUCAGUACAGCACUACUGGUACAUGAAAGUCUACACACUAGCACAUCUGUUGAUACACACAGAAAUAUAGCCUGUAACACAGGGAGAACAGCCUGGACAGACACCGCUGCCCAGCAGCGCGGCGCCCAUCAGUCACCACAAGAUGAGCAGGCUGCUGUGCACACUCAUGUCAGCUGCAUAACUGCAGCUCAGCAACCGGGUUCAAGAAAAUAAAAAACCAAGAACCAGUACUUCAAACCAUGAGCAGACUGAUCCUGGAGAUGAGCAAAACCUGUUUCCUUUCUGAAGUCUGUAGAGAAACUUCUCCCUCCCUCUGGUUAAGGAGAACAAUCGGCCUGGCUGCAGCUCUGGCUCACCCUUCCAACACGUAUGUGUUGGAAGCUACAACAUCCCGCAUAGUUUAAAGCAAAGGAAAGGCAAAGGAACUUCCAGCAGGCAAAUACUUCAACCAACAGCACAUUCCCUUAUCAGAUUGUGACACAAUCGUUCCAUGCCGAUGCAGCACCCUGGUCUCGGUUUCCCAGGCAAGGUUAGUAACCACAAGACAUGCAGCAUCAAGCAGAAGGAGCUGGAAUGCAGAAAACCUACCUUGGCAGGUUGGGAGCGGGCGUUGAAGCUGGUGCUUGGGCGGGAGGAGCCGCAGGCUGUGCGGAGUCGUGGUUGCGCGGCACUCUGCCCAUCCGAUACCAGAUACCCAUGCUGUUCAGCUCCCUGGGAAACCAACACACAGCACCAGGGCUGAUGCUGCACGCACGCACCAGCACCAGGCCCUGACGUGUUUCAUCAACACCUUGGUCAGUGAGAACAAGGGUAAUUAAAAAAAAGGAGGGGUGAGUUAACUCCUACGUCUAACUCAGUAACACUUGUUCUUACUUGGGACUUUUCUAAUGAUAAGCUUCACCUCUUACAAGCUACUACUUGGUAAUUAGAGGAGCACAGGGCCCUUGCUUUGGUAUAACUGCAUUAUUGUUAUAACAGCUUUGGAGUGAGGGGUACUCACCCUAUGAAGGUGUACUGAGGAGGGGCUUGCUUAGAUCUGCCCAGGAUUCGGAUAUCGCAGAUCGCUGCCUCUGUAGAAUCCCGAGGGAUGAAUUUAAUGCACAGCCUCUUCUUUCUGAAAGCUACUUCUUCUGCAAAAACAACCCAGAAUACAGGGUGGGUUUUAUGCAAGAUUAGAGUAUAAAUGUUAUUUAUAAUCUCUCCAGGUCCUAGGCAGGUAAUUGUGGCAGAACUGGUGCCAAAGAACAGACAUAUGUCAACAAACCAGUCAGUGCAGCGCCAUUCCAAGGGGAAUGUUCUAUCAGAUGUGCUGUUGGCACUGCAAUAACCAGUUCUCCUCCUGCCUGCUGCAGAGAUCAGCUCCCACGUGUGCCUGGUGCUGCCCCACAGCACAGAACAGCAGCUGACUCUGCCAGUUCCACAUGUCUCUCGCACUCCCUUGCUCUUUCCCAGGCUGGAUUUCGUCCCUGACACGCUCUGGGACCAGCCCUUCUGUGAGGAGCAGCUGCACACCGGGCACCAGCACCAGUCCUGCCAUCCUCUCACUCCACUCCCAUGGGACUGUCCCCUGCCAGCCCAGUGCCCUUGGUGCCUGCUGCACAGCACAGGCCUGCCACCAGACGUGGCUCCAGCUGCUGCUGGCACAAGUCCCAGGGGAGCUGAACACACUGUUUGGGAACUGCUCACUCAUCUAUUGCAGUGAAACAAGUCUACCUUGCAGAAAUGAGCAUGAUAUUCCCCCUGGGCACUGCACUUGCGCCUUGUGUCAGUAAGCACAAAGAUACCUGACACCCCUCAGCACUUGCUGGCAGGACUUGUUCUCCCACAGCAGGAGAUGUACAGUGGGAGGGCACAAACACACCCCCCCUUCCUUUCAGUGCAUUUCUGAACACCCCUUGGCACAGCAGCUCUGCUCCUGCUAGGCACAGCCCACUCUUCAAACUGACAAAAGAAACUCUCCCUUCCUGCCCCAGACAUGGGGCUCUAGCAGGUGAGUGAAGACAGACAGGCAGCCCAUUAAACAGCCUGAGGAGGACAAGAAAACCAAAGGCUGUUUUAUUGCAGCCCAGAGCUGAACCUAAAUGUGCACAUGCCACCCCAGAGAGCAGAAGUGCCAGGAGUGACCCUCUACCAGGGACACAGCUCUUUGUCACCCGGGACACGGCCUUCUGUGACCUGGAACACUGCUCUUUGUCACCUGGGACAUGGCCCUCCACAGCCUGACCACACAAGCACUGGCAGAGUGGGACUGAGGACCAGGUGUCAACUUACGUGUAUCAAUGGUCUCCUGGAUGGGCAUGAAGCCCACAGGCAAAGUGUCCUUGAUAUCAAUGAGCUUCAUGUCGACCAAGACGUUGCCUAAAUGACUCUGUGGAGAGAGAAAAGAAACAGUUGGUUAUAACAAUGUCACCAAAUUAAACCCCAGAUCUUCCCACCUGCUGAAGCCUGAGAUGCCUUGUCAUUGUAUCUGACCACAGCUUUGGAAAUGAUAAGAACGUACCAAGGCAACCCUCGCACGCGUCCUCUCAGCAGGAACCAAACCACGACUGACUAGGAGAUACCAGACAACUUUCAGCAUUUCAAAUUCUAACACCUCACCCACUGCCAUGUUUCCAGAUCUUUGGAAGCACAGCCAAAUUCUUUCUUUUGCAGGCACAGCAGCUUGCAGUACUAAUUUCACCAACCCAUCCACUGAGCAGGUCACCUCAGUUCUUACACACUCUACAGUUACAAGAGCAACGUGGCAUUUCCAUGACAGUAACAGCAAAAAGCAUUACAGGAUGAUGGCUUAUGCACACAGAGCCAAAGUUAUUACAUGCAUUAGCUAAUUAGUGCUGAAUAGACAGGGUUCUAGCUCCAAAUACAGUGCACUCCAGAAGCACAGGCCAUUUGGAACAACAAACUUCAUUUAGAGUCCAUAUGAAUUCUGAGCUCAUGCCUUGUCCUAUUAAUCAAGGCUUGAAGAGCUCAGAGCCCAAUUCAGAGUGACAGCCUCCACAAUGGUUUAGAGACCAGAUUUUCUUUGCAGUUUUCAAUAAAACCAGCGCUGCUGCCAAUAAUCUGGGGUCACAUAUGAAAGAACACAUUUUAGGUACUGCACAGCCU